rnacentral:tRNA from 1 species
GCUCGCGUAGCUUAAAUAAAGCAUAACACUGAAGAUGUUAAGAUAGUCCCUAGAAAGUCUCGCAGGCA